AGAGAGAGACACACACACACACACAGAGAGAGAGAGAGAGAGACAGAGAGAGACACACACACACAGACAGACAGACAGACAGACACACAGACACACACUCUCCGUAAUGUUUAAUGUGCUCUUGUAAUGAAGCACAGUACAUUAAUCCGGAUCACCAUCACACUAAUGUCCAUCCUUUUGUCCUUCUGCUUAUUGCUUGAAUAUCCGCUGAGCCUAUCAGACAGUGAAUAUCUAUGACUGGAACCAACACACAGGUGGUGUGUGUGGGUGUGUGUGUGUGUGUGUGUGUGCGUGCACUAUUAUAUAUAUGCGUAUAAGGUACUGUCUUCUAUGGUACACAGAGUGCUGAUGGGACUCCGACAUUAAAACAGUAAUGAAUGGUACUCUGAAUGGAAGACCUUUAGAAACAAAUGUUAAUUUAUUUUCUUAAUUUCUAACUUUACCACAGGACACUGGGAUUGUAACCACAGCGACAUUGUUAUUUAUUCUCUAAUCAUGCGUCUGCAUAUUUUCUUUUCUUUGUACACAUUUCAUGACUUUUAUUUUUAUAAAAUAAUAUGUUUUAUUUCAUCUGUGAUUUGUUGUUUUGGUCGUAAAUCUCAUGGUAGAUGUUGAUGAUUUCAGUAGGUGAUUUUACUUUUCAGGCUAAAGCAACAGGAGAAUCUGUCACACUAUUAUUUUUUCCAUACUGUGAAUUAUCAAUAUUAUUUUUGUGGGAGAGAAACAGUUGUAUUAGCACAACCUCAAAACUUGUUUUGCUUUGAGUCAGAUUUUUUAAAAAGUGAUUGAGCAAUGAUUUUUGCUUGCCAGAUAAAUCCUAUGGUAUAGAUUUGUAAUGAAGAUUGUCAGUAUUUUCAUAUCGAUGCUAUAUAUGAUGUACAUUUUUAUCACAUUUAAUGAAAAAUGUUUUAAGAUUCAACUGGAGAUGUAUGAAUAAAUAGAUGUACACCUGUAAUUGCUGAUUGGAGGAGCUGGAUAAAAUAAACUAAUAUGUAGCAGUCCU